rnacentral:rRNA from 1 species
GACGAACGCUGGCGGCGUGCCUAACACAUGCAAGUCGAGCGGAGAAUGCGGACAUGUUUACAUGGAAGUGUUCUUAGCGGCGGACGGGUGCGUAACACGUGGGUAACCUGCCCCUAUCACUGGGAUAACACACUGAAAAGUGUGCUAAUACCAGAUAACAUAAGCUUUUGGCAUCAUUAGCUUAUCAAAGAAUUUCGGAUAGGGAUGGGCCCGCGUCUGAUUAGCUUGUUGGUGAGGUAACGGCUCACCAAGGCAACGAUCAGUAGCCGACCUGAGAGGGUGAUCGGCCACACUGGAACUGAGACACGGUCCAGACUCCUACGGGAGGCAGCAGUGGGGAAUAUUGCACAAUGGGCGAAAGCCUGACGGAGCGACGCCGCGUGAACGAAGAAGGCCGUGAGGUUGUAAAGUUCUUUUCGGGAGGGGAACAACCGUGGCAGGGAAUGGCCGCGGGAUGACGUGAAUCCCGGAAUAAGCCCGGCUAACUACGUGCCAGC